GUGAGUCCAGGUGAGCUCCAGGUGAUCUCAGGUGUCCCCAGGUGUGUUCAGGUGAGGCUCAGUGAGAAGGCUCUGUAUCCCAGGUUGGUGAAGAUGGGUUCAGGUGAUCUCAGGUGUAUCUCAGGUGUCCCCAGGUGUCCCCAGGUGUGCUCAGGUGAGGCUCAGUGAGAACGCCCGAUAUCCCAGGUUGGUGAAGGUGGGUUCAGGUGAGGUUCAGGUGUGUUCAGGUGAGGUUCAGGUGAGGUUCAGGUGUCCCCAGGUGUGCUCAGGUGAGGCUCAGUGAGAAGGCCCGAUAUCCCAGGUUGGUGAAGAUGAGUUCAGGUGAGGUUCAGGUGAUCUCAGGUGUCCCCAGGUGUGUCCAGGUGUGCUCAGGUGAGGCUCAGCGAGAAGGCUGUGUAGCCCAGGUGGGUUCAGGUGUGUUCAGGUGUGUUCAGGUGAGGUUCAGGUGUCCCCAGGUGUGUUCAGGUGAGGUUCAGGUGAUCUCACAUGGUCUCAGAUGGGUUCAGGUGAGGUUCAGGUGUCCCCAGCUGUCCCCAGGUGUCCCCAGGUGUGUU